rnacentral:lncRNA from 1 species
AGAAAUUUUUCUCAAGGAUGGAAGAUUCUGGUAGCCAUUUUUCUGUUGGGAUUAAGCUUUCCAUACUCACAAGGUUAUAAUGUCAAAUCUAAAGUCUUUUUGUCACCUAAGUUUGUGCUGGGGCCAGGAUCCGUUGAGAAUAAAUUUUACUAUGGGAUUGACUUUCCGAGAGGUCAUAUUGCUCUAAAGAGUUUUAAUGCAGAAGUAAUUGAUGAGGCAGGAAAUCCCGUUCCUCUUCACGAGACUUAUCUCCACCAUUGGGUCGUUGAAAGAUACUAUGGACGUAAAGAUGCAGAAGUACUGGAGUAUAAUGGCAACAGACUUCUUCGUGAAUCAGAUUACAUUGCAGCGAGAAAUGAUGGCAUAUGCCAGAGGAAUUCUCUUGGGCAGUUUUUUGGCCUUGGCUCUGAGACACGAGGAACAGCAACGCAUAUUCCAGAUCCUUAUGGUAUAGAAAUUGGCAAUCCUGCUACAUUUCCUGCAGGCUAUGAAGAGAGAUGGCUUCUUAAUGUCCAUGCAAUUGAUACACGAGGUGUCGAAGAUAGGUUGGGAUGCACCGAAUGCAAGUGCGAUUUGUACAAUGUUACAGUGGAUGAGUAUGGCCAGCCGCUAAAGCCAAAUUACAGAGGUGGUUUAGCGUGUUGUUACGAUGGUACGCAGUGUAGAUUGUCAAACGGUUUUGAAGGUGCCAGGAGGAGCCUCUAUUUGAGAUAUACCGUAAAGUGGGUUGAUUGGGACACUUCCAUUGUGCCUGUUAAAAUCUACAUAUUUGAUGUCACUGACAAGGAAACACGGUUUAGUGAUUCCACUGGAUUCAGCAUACAGCAUCAUUGCCAGGUAAGUGAAACUCUUUUUACAAAACUCUCCAAGCUGAAACAGAAAUGAAUUUUAUUUGGGACGUUCAGUGGAAUAGCCUCGCAUUACUUUCUUCAUCUUUUACGGUUCAUUGAACUAGGUUGUUAUAUAAUCAUUUAAUGCUUGUUUUGGUGCAUUACUGGAAAAAUGGAAUUGAUUCAUUGAUGCAAUGAACACAAAGUUGGAGUCUGCAUAAAGCUAAGCGUAAUUUACUGGAAAAAAUUCUGUGGGCUUAGAGUCCUCUUUAAUGGCAUACUGUUUAAUAUGUGUGUAUGAAAUGACUUGCGUUGAAGAUAUUUUUUGUUUAAUGUGGAGGAGUUUUUAUUAAAUGUGCAUAAAUUUAUAGACAUUCAAAAGCACAUAAGCACCAACACUUACUUCAGCCCCUAAAUUGAUAAUCAAUAGUGAAUACGUUUUGAUUUAUGACUUUCUUGCAACUUUUAGUGACUUAAUUUCUUCACAAAUGUUGACCCAUUGGAAUAUCUGUGAUUGCAGGUUGAAUAUUAUGUUGAGCCCUGUAAAGCCAAUGAUGUGGCUGAUAAUGGGUGUGUCCACACCAAAAGGACCAGUGUCACGAUGCCAACCAGUGGUUACAUCAUCUAUGGCGUUGCCCAUCAGCACUCAGGGGGCAUUGGUGCAGCUCUAUACAGAAAGGUGAUUUCAAUAUCUAAUUUGCAUUCACGUGGCAUGCCUUUUCUUUUGUCUAUGUUCUACUUUCCAUUGUAAUUUUAUCAUUCUUAUCUGCUAGGUUGGUGGUAAACUGGUGAUAUAUGAAGACGUGUACUAGUUCUUGAUCUUUUUAAUUUUCUUGUUAGAUUAUGCUUUGAAAGUUAUUGUUUCUUUAGUCUGCAAAAGAAUUGUCAGAAUUUUUUAAGAUUAUGUAAAUGUUUACAACAUUAAUUAGAUGUUGAGGACAUGUGAGUGUGACAUUAUCAUAUUUCCAAAGUAGACUAUUUUUUAGCUUCUAGCUGCUUGAUUUGUUUGUCAUCCUCAAAGUUUGGAUAACAUUGAUAUUUUAUAUAUAGUGUUAUGGUCCCUGAAAUUGGUUGGAUGUUUUCCCUUUUUCUUUUGAAGAACAAUUCUUCAUUAUUCAUUUUAUGUAAUUUUUUCAGAACCCAGUGUGAUGAUUGUGGAAGGAAUUUGAUUCCCAAUGUCUUCUUCAUUGAUAUGCUUGUUUUUGGUGAAACCAGGAUGGACAACUUAUGUGUUCUUCAAUUCCAGCUUAUGGAAAUGGGAAGGAAGCUGGAAACGAGGCUGGAUAUAUUGUAGGAAUGUCGACUUGUUAUCCUAAACCAGGCUUCCUCAGGAUAACAGAUAAGGAAACUCUGAUUGUGGAAUCUAACUACAGUAGCUCCCACGAUCACACAGGAGUUAUGGGGCUUUUCUACAUUUUGGUUGCAGACAGGGUGCCCGAGUCCAGUUCAUUCUUAGAUGUUUUCAACAAGGUAAGAUUCCCUUUUCAUAUUUUUAGAUAGUGAGUUCAGCAAUACAAUUUAUUAUGCUUGUGAGCACAUGCGAAGAUACCGGAGAGCAAAAAACUUAUUCUAGAAUUGAGGAGGAAUAUUGUCUUACCUCUUUGAUUAUCGAAAUGGUAUAGAGAAUGGAUUAUAGACAGUCGUUUUGAUUAGUGUUGGUGAGAAGAUUAUUAUUUGCUGGAGUAGAAACUGUUUAAUAUGAUUCUUAGGCGAUAAUAGAACUAUAAUCCUCUUCUUGAUUUUAGCAAGAAACACCAAGCCUCUGAUAACUGCCUGGUUUUUGCAGAUGUACAAUGAUAUAAACCAUUCUGCUUUUGUUUGGGGAGCGUUUGUUUUAGCCGGAGUUGCUAUCAUUGCUGCUGCUGUGGGUUACUGGCGUAGGAAUAAGUACGAAGAUGGAUACCAACCAAUUAUGAUCUGAACUUGUUCUUAUGAGGCUUAGCCAUGUGUAUUAGACAGAAAUAAUGUUAGCUCUGUAUCAUAUGUUCUGAAACUCUCGUUUCCCUUUGCUAGAUGAGCGUGAAUAAACAGAUGAGCGUGAAUAAACCCGGGAGACUCACAGUCUUGCCCAAUAUUAUUUCUAUUACUGUUGUUAGUAAUUGGAACUGAGUGAUUAAUGUGAGCCUCUGUUGGACUUUAUGGCCAUUUCUUUCAUUUUCUCUACGACUCCUGUAGCUGCUUGUGUUCAACGCUAUUUUCACAUUUGUAAGGGACCUGUCCAAAAUUCAAAGCAUUAUUGGGUCGCUAUUUCCUGUGGCAGCUGCCAAGUUUGAGUAUCUUCGACUUAGAGGAACCACAUAUGUUACUUUUUUUUGAAAAAAAAAUUCAUUUCAUGUUUUUAGUCUGCAUGUGUGUUAUUUAAUAAUAAUCGUUGAAAGAACUGUUUUAAAUAUUUUACUUCAUCAUAGUUUCUCCUACAAUUAUGGAUCUCUGUUUCCUAGUUUUCCCCUUCUCAAACGAUCUAUAUACACGGUAAGCUCAAAGUAUGCAUGCUUCGUCAUAUAUUUAACACAAGUGUGCAUAUUGCAACUAAUAUUUUGGGAUGCAUCACACAAUAAUUUUACAAUAUAUCCAUCGUGCUUUGUGACAUUACCUUUGACUUUAUCAAUUGCAUUGUUACCAGAGAUAGUGCAUUAUUAACUAUGAUACUGUAAAGAAUUCAAUUUGAAAUCAAAUUAACAAUCGACAAUGAAUCAUAAUAUGGUCAAAUAAAAAAUAAAGAGAUACGUACUAGCUUUGAAAUGGGAAAAUAAAUAAUGAACGAAUGAUUUAGUUUUUUUUUUUCCAAAUUCUCUUUUAUGUUUAUUACUGUUGGGUUGCCCCUCUGGAAAAAUUCAUAGGUCCGGUUCAGAAAUGCAAAAUACAAUAGUAAUCACAUGGGGGUUUAAUGCAAAUAUGCAGUGAAGGAGGCACUAUGCAGAUUGUCAAUGAAUAAUGGGAAGAUGAAAUUUACGUAUAAAGGUGAACUAUUGGCACCCUUUGCGUAUCUUUUGAAACCCCUUUUCUUUAUCUAUCUCAUUAUAAUUAUUUGAAAAUUAUAAAACUCUCAUGGCAUCGUUUUAGUUUAAAAAAUAACCUUAAUUUCUUGUUGAGUUUACACCCCCUUCUUUCUCUUCACAUCUCUCUCCCCCUCAUUUGCUUACCAUUCUUUCCUCUCUCUUUCUCUUCCACUAUGAGUUCUCUCCGUCGUCAACUCUUUUUAUGGUGAUGAACAAAUUGGACUUUAUGACCAUAACAUUAUAAUUAUUAAUAUAUAUAUAUAUAUAUAUAAUAAUAAUAAUAAUAAUAAUAAAGAUUCAAUGAGAAUGAUGCAAUUGAUUGGUAUUCUUGAUUUUUUUUUUUUUGCUUCUUUAACUAAACUUAAAAGUUUCAUUACUAACCACAACAACAAUAUGAAAGAAAUUAGAAUGUUGCCGAAUUUAUUUUUUGUAAUUGUUUUAUUUUUCUAAAUUAAUUCGGAUGGGGACGAAGGCAAAUGGAAGAGAACAAUAAAAAUCAUUGGCUCUGAAAAUAUUUUUCUGUAGGAUGCCCUGCCUUCUGAAACCUCCUCAACGUUAAAUCUAUAUAUAUAUAUAUAUAUAUAUAUAUAUAGAGUCAGAGUUCAAAUUUUGUGCUUUAACUGCCGUUGCUUUGUGGAAGUCAUUUCUCCGCACCCCCUUCAUUUCUCCUUCGCAUAUCCACCUCCUGCCUUCAAGUGAUUUUUGUGGGACCAAAAUCUAAUUGUUUCAUUUUUUUUUAAAUUAUCCUCGUUCAAAUCAUAAUUAAUUUUUAUUAUUUUAAAUUUUAUUAUUUUUAUUAAAUUUUAUUAAUUUAGUUAUUAUUAAUUAUUGUUAUUAUUAUUUUUAUUAAUAUUAUCAUUAUUAACAAUUAUUGUUAUUAUUAUUGUCAAAAUUUAUUAAUUUUAUUAUUUUAAAUGUCAUUAUUAUUAUUAACUUUAUUAUUUUAGUUAUUAUUAAUUAUUGUUGUUAUUAUUUUAUUAAUAUUAUCAUUAUUAACAAUUAUUAUUAUUAUUAUUAUUGUUAUUGUUAUUAUCAUUAUUAUCAAAAUUUAUUAUUUUAAAUGUCAUUAUUAUUAUUAUUAUUAUUGACUUUAUUAUUUUAGUUAUUAUUAAUUGUUAUUAUUAUCAUUAUUAACAAUUUAUUAUUAUUAUUAUCAUUAUUAUUAUCAAAAUUUAUUAAAUUUAUUAUUUUAAAUGUCAUUAUAUUAUUAUUAUUAUUAUUGACUAUAUUAUUUUAGUUAUUAUUAAUUAUUUUUAUUUUUAUUAUUAUCAUUAUUAACAAUUUAUUAUUAUUAUUAUUAUUAUUAUUAUUAUUAUUAUUAUUAUUAUCAUCAUCAUCAAAAUUUAUUAAAUAUAUUAUUUUAAAUAUCAUUAUUAUUAUUAUUGACUAUAUUAUUUUAGUUAUUAUUUUUAUUUUUAUUAAUAUUAUCAUUAUUAACAUUUAUUAUUAUUAUUAAUUUUAUUUUUUUAAUUAAUAGCAUUUUUAUAAUAAUAUUUAUACAUGUAUCUAGUUGAUGAAAAUUGCAUUAUUUAAUACUAUGGAUAUUUUGGUAAAUUGAUUCUCAUUUCUAUUCCGCAUUCCCAUUUAUUUUGUCAAGUAAACACAUCAAUGACAUUCCAGCACAUUUCUAUUUCUAUUUAUUUUUGGCAAUCAAACAUUUCAUCUCAUUUUCAUUCCUCAUUCUCAUUCUAUGAAAUAAACGAACCAUUAUUUCUUAAUUUUUCAUUUCCGUCAAAUUUCUAAUUCAGUUAGUCACACAAAUAAAAUUACUUACUUGAAAAUCACUCCCAAAUGUACAAUGAACUUAUUUGUAGGAGCUGGCUGAGUUACAUAUUCUGUAACUUACAGAUCCAACUCCUAUUGCCUGCAUUUACACAGUUUUUCUCUCUCCUCAGGACACGUGUGUUGCUUCCCAUUGGGUGUGUACGUUACAGAUUCUGUAACGUAGGUUGGUCCCUUAUUUGUAAUGUUGUCUAUUAUUAUAGUUUAUCACUAUUAUUCCUAUCAAUCUGAGACUCUCCGUAGCACGCAACUCCCAACCGAUUUAUUUAAACGUGCUGCCAAACAACGACUCGCAUAAGAUAAAGGGAAGAACAAUCAAGAAUCAUCACUCCAUUAUCUAAUUUUUCAUGCCGUAGCCAGAACGCUUUACUAAGUAGCGACUUAAGGUCGAUGGAAGAACAAUCAAGCUGAUAUGACUAGUUUGUCAUUAUUGCUUUUCUUGACUACCACAAGAUCUAUAUCGAGGGAGGUGCUACCUUAAAUUUAAGGUACAGCUCUCUCUAAGAACCACUGCUGUAGGGAGAGUUGUACCUUAAGAUAAACUUAAGGUAGGCAAAACCUUUUGUCGGUGUCUCCAACUUUCAAUUUCUUCAACAUUUAGCUUUCCUGGAAGCAAUUAUACACACUCUACUGAUGCGACAAAAGGUGCCAAAAAAAAAAAAAAAAACUGCCCGUUGCGUCACUGCUUAGGUCAUUCUAAACCUUCAGUUCUCUGUCUGUAGUCUAUCACUUGGUGCAAAAUAGUCAAGUUCUCACGUUUUAGACGGCACGUUAAUCGGACACGCGGCUGAUCCUGUCCUUAACAGGCCAUUUUUAUUAGGCCACCUACCUUAUUACAAUGAAUGUAAAGUAUAUCUUCUUACAAAUUGAGUUGUAGGACUCAUUUGGACCCACAGCCAAUAAAGAGGAUGUACCUUACAAUCAUUGUAAGGUAGCAGCUCCCUAUUAUAUUAGUUACUUCAUUUGUGAAUGUAAUGAGAAAGAACUAAGGCGACGCACCCUCGCAGGAGCUGAAACUUUCAGUCUAUCACAGUCUGAAAAGGCCGUUGACCAUGCAAUCUGCGUACGUUGUUUGUUCUCAAAUUUGAUCGUUUGUUUUCAUUUUUCGUUCAUGUCAAGUUUCUGUAUUUGUACACAAUUAAAUGAUCACUCAUUCGCAGGUUUUGCUUUUACCUGACGCUCUUCAAUAGUUUUAUUCACUCUAGUAUUUGCGAUAUAUCUUUCUGCUUGAUGACCCAAGUUGCAUGUGAACGGAUUAGCUAUUCAUUUUACUUUGUUAAUCAGUCAAAUAUCAUAGACCCCAUCUGUUAUUACAGCAGUGAUUGCUAGGAACAGUUGAGAGUCUUUUCAAACUUUUCCAAACAUGUGUCCAAAUAGAUUGAGCUUGUACGUGAGAUAGCUGGAUUUUAUUUGCUUACAAACCUUUUUUGGGAUUAUUUAAAAAUUACAAUUACUGAUCUGGUUUCGGAUACACGAGAGUUUUUUGCUAUUAUCCAAUUUAUUUUGGUUGGAGCACGUUUUAACUGACACAAAGCCGGAAAUACCAGUUCAAUCUCAGUAACCUCUAUAAUUUGUCUCAAAUACAUUGUGUUUAGUUAUUCAUGUUCUUGGAUUUCCAAUUUCAUUUAUGGCUUAACUGAUAUAAGAAAGCUGACAGGGAUAUGAGAAAUUUUUCUCAAGGAUGGAAGAUUCUGGUAGCCAUUUUUCUGUUGGGAUUAAGCUUUCCAUACUCACAAGGUUAUAAUGUCAAAUCUAAAGUCUUUUUGUCACCUAAGUUUGUGCUGGGGCCAGGAUCCGUUGAGAAUAAAUUUUACUAUGGGAUUGACUUUCCGAGAGGUCAUAUUGCUCUAAAGAGUUUUAAUGCAGAAGUAAUUGAUGAGGCAGGAAAUCCCGUUCCUCUUCACGAGACUUAUCUCCACCAUUGGGCCGUUCAAAAAUACUAUGGACGUAAAGAUGCAGAAUUACUAGAGUAUAAUGGCAACAGACUUCUUCGUGAAUCAGAUUACAUUUCAGCGAGAAAUGAUGGCAUAUGCCAGACGAAUAUUCUUGAGCAGGAUUUUGGCCUUGGCUCUGAGACGCGAGGAACGGCAACGCAUAUUCCAGAUCCUUAUGGAUUAGAAAUUGGCAAUCCUGCUACAAUUCCUGCAGGCUAUGAAGAGAGAUGGUUUCUUAAUGUCCAUGCAAUUGAUACACGAGGUGUCGAAGAUAGGUUGGGAUGCACCGAAUGCAAGUGCGAUUUGUACAAUGUUACAUUGGAUGAGUAUGGCCAGCCACUAAAGCCAAAUUACAGAGGUGGUUUAGCGUGUUGUUACGAUGGUACGCAGUGUAGAUUGUCAAACGGUUUUGAAGGUGCCAGGAGGAGCCUCUAUUUGAGAUAUACCGUAAAGUGGGUUGAUUGGGACACUUCCAUUGUGCCUGUUAAAAUCUACAUAUUUGAUGUCACUGACAAGGAAACACGGUUUAGUGAUUCCACUGGAUUCAGCAUACAGCAUCAUUGCCAGGUAAGU